UGACAUGUGUGCGAGUCAACGGGCGAGUAAACCCGUAAGGCGCAAGGAAGCUGAUUGGCGGGAUCCCCUCACGGGGUGCACCGCCGACCGACCUUGAUCUUCUGAGAAGGGUUCGAGUGCGAGCAUACCUGUCG
rnacentral:ncRNA from 1 species